rnacentral:lncRNA from 1 species
CUUGAACUCCUGACCUCAAGUGAUCCACCUACCUCGGCCUCCCAAAGUGCUGGGAUUACAGGUGUGAGUCACCGUAUCUGGCCCCAUUUCCUCUUAUACCAUAAGUCAUUGCCUGAAGAUGUGUUUUCUCCAUUAGUUUGCAAAAGCUUCCUGAGAGUAGGUCUGUGCCUCAUUUAUUCUGGAAUCUCCCUGGCACAAAGCACAGGGCUUUAUCUUCAGUAGGCAUCCAACAAAUGUUUCAUUUCAUUCAACAGCUCCUCUUACCACUGCCUCCACCUUAUUUGCAGGUGGCUAAGUACAAUCGGAACAAGUAGGUAUCAUAAGAUUUAGUCCAGAGUCAAUUUGAGAAGAAAUUACUUUAGUGAUAUGAAAAUAAACCAUGCUAUUGAGUCAGAAUACUUCUGAGAAUAUCCCCUGUCCAAGCAUUUGCUGAAUUUCUAUGUACUAAUUUUCAGGUGGAACAGUAUGCUUGCAGAGGGUCCAUUUGGACAUAGAUACACUUUCAUACAUUCAUGUCUUUAACAAGAAUUUGUGUCCCUACUGUGUUUGUUCACUAACUCCUUUGAACCUACCACAUAAGCUAUAUCUGUAUUUUCCUUGUAAUUUGGGAGGUCCAGUGCUUCAUUACGCUCAUAUGCCUGAAACUAAUGAAGAAAAUAGCUCGUUAACCAGCUAGUAUAAAAGUAGCCACCAAAUCAAGUCAAUCACCUGCCUUAAAUUAGCCCAGUACUCCCAUCUUGAGCGGAGAAGCCCAUUCUGAAUCACAGUCAAGACAUUGAUGGAAAAACAACUCCCUCUGGGGAUCAAAACCACGCUCACUCCAAAUCCUCCUCCCCAGAGUUCUACUCAUUGCUCACCCACUGAACCCAGAACUAACCAGAAGUGCUUGAAAUGAGGACGGGUAGCUCCAUGUACCAAUCGGAAUUUAAAACUCUAUCAAUUCCUGCUAUAGAAAUGAGGCUUCUCCCCAGGACCAGCAUUCCACGAAGGCAGCCCUUUUCUAGAUGGAGAAAACAGAACCUGAAGACACCCGUUUCCCUAAACUGCUCUCGCUCAUGUUUCUACAAGGCCUGGAGCUGAUAGGAAAAACCUCCCUUCUUUCCCAAAUGGUCCCCAGCUGCCCCGUUCACUGAAGGCCCUGCAGUCAGGAACGGUCAGGACUUCACACCCAGUUGUUGUGGGUGUUUGGCCGACACGACACUUCCUCUUGUGUGAUUCAUGGACCCGCAGCAUUGCGUCACCUGGGAGCUUUUGGUAUUGAAGACUCUCAGGGCUCACCCGGAAGGACCUGCUGGGCCAGAAUCUACAUUUUAACAAGAUGCCCAGAAACUCCUGGAGGGCAGAGGCAUGCCUGCCAUCUUCAUCAUUGCAUUACCACCACCCAACACUAUCGGGGGACCUGCCCUGAUAAUCAGUCUACAGGUGUAUCCAGCAGCUCCAGAGAGACAGCGACCAGCGAGAAGGGGCCAUGAUGAUGGUGGUGGUUUUGUCAAAACGAAAAGGGGGAUAUGUAGGGAAAAGAAAGAGAGAUCAGACUGUUACUGUGUCUACAUAGAAAGGGAAGCCAUAAGAGACUCCAUUUUGAAA